AUUCCAGCUCCAAUAGCGUAUAUUUAAGUUGCUGCAGUUAAAAAGCUCGUAGUUGGAUUUCGGGCGGUUGACGACGGUCCGCCUCUGGUGUGCACUGCCGUUCUUCCGCCUUUCUGUCGGGGACGUGCUCCUAGGCUUCAUUGUCUGGGACACGGGUUCGACGUGGUUACUUUGAGUAAAUUAGAGUGUUCAAAGCAGGCAUCGCCUUGAAUAUAUUAGCAUGGAAUAGCACGAUAGGACUCUGGCCUAUUUUGCUGGUCUGUAGGACCGGAGUAAUGAUUAAGAGGGACAGUCGGGGGCAUUCGUAUUUCAUUGUCAGAGGUGAAAUUCUUGGAUUUAUGAAAGACGAACUUCUGCGAAAGCAUUUGCCAAGGGCGUUUUCAUCG
rnacentral:rRNA from 1 species